rnacentral:rRNA from 1 species
UCUGCCCUUGGCUCUGGGAUAGCCACCGGAAACGGUGAUUAAUACCGGAUAUGACACUUCACCGCAUGGUGUGGGUGUGGAAAGUUUUUCGGCCAGGGAUGUGCUCGCGGCCUAUCAGCUUGUUGGUGGGGUAAUGGCCUACCAAGGCUUCGACGGGUAGCCGGCCUGAGAGGGUGACCGGCCACACUGGGACUGAGACACGGCCCAGACUCCUACGGGAGGCAGCAGUGGGGAAUAUUGGACAAUGGGCGGAAGCCUGAUCCAGCAACGCCGCGUGAGGGAUGACGGCCUUCGGGUUGUAAACCUCUUUCAGCACAGACGAAGCGCAAGUGACGGUAUGUGCAGAAGAAGGACCGGCCAACUACGUGCCAGCAGCCGCGGUAAUACGUAGGGUCCGAGCGUUGUCCGGAAUUAUUGGGCGUAAAGGGCUCGUAGGCGGUUUGUCGCGUCGGGAGUGAAAACCAGGUGCUUAACACCUGGCCUGCUUUCGAUACGGGCAGACUAGAGGCAUUCAGGGGAGAACGGAAUUCCUGGUGUAGCGGUGAAAUGCGCAGAUAUCAGGAGGAACACCGGUGGCGAAGGCGGUUCUCUGGGAAUGUCCUGACGCU